rnacentral:rRNA from 1 species
AGAGUUUGAUCCUGGCUCAGAACGAACGCUGGCGGCAGGCCUAACACAUGCAAGUCGAACGAUGCCUUCGGGCAUAGUGGCGCACGGGUGAGUAACACGUGGGAACAUACCUUUUGGUGGGGGAUAACUUCGGGAAACUGAAGCUAAUACCGCAUACGCCCCUUGGGGGAAAGAUUUAUCGCCGAAAGAUUGGCCCGCGUCCGAUUAGCUAGUUGGUGAGGUAAUGGCUCACCAAGGCUCCGAUCGGUAGCUGGUCUGAGAGGAUGACCAGCCACACUGGGACUGAGACACGGCCCAGACUCCUACGGGAGGCAGCAGUGGGGAAUAUUGGACAAUGGGCGCAAGCCUGAUCCAGCCAUGCCGCGUGAGUGAUGAAGGCCUUAGGGUUGUAAAGCUCUUCACCCACGACGAUGAUGACGGUAGUGGAGAAGAG